rnacentral:tRNA from 2 species
GGGGUCUUAGCUCAGCUGGGAGAGCGCUAGAAUCGCACUCUAGAGGUCAGGGGUUCGAUCCCCCUAGGCUCCA